rnacentral:rRNA from 1 species
GAUGAACGCUGGCGGCGUGCCUAAUACAUGCAAGUCGAGCGAACAGACGAGGAGCUUGCUCCUCUGACGUUAGCGGCGGACGGGUGAGUAACACGUGGAUAACCUACCUAUAAGACUGGGAUAACUUCGGGAAACCGGAGCUAAUACCGGAUAAUAUAUUGAACCGCAUGGUUCAAUAGUGAAAGACGGUUUUGCUUUCACUUAUAGAUGUAUCCGCGCCGCAUUAGCUAGUUGGUAAGGUAACGGCUUACCAAGGCAACGAUGCGUAGCCGACCUGAGGGGGUGAUGGGCCAAACUGGAACUGAGACAGGGUCCAGACUCCUACGGGGGGCAGCAGUAGGGAAUCUUCGGCAAUGGGCGAAGGCCUGACGGGGCAACGCCGGGUAAGUGAUGAAGGUCUUCGGAUCGUAAAACUCUGUUAUUAGGGAGGAACAAAUGUGUAAGUAACUAUGCACGUCUUGACGGUAACUAAUCAGAAAGCCACGGCUAACUACGUG